rnacentral:lncRNA from 1 species
UGUUGGUUAUGUUUUUGAACAACAACUAAGACAUAGAAACAAGGUUAUCGAUGUGUGCCAUCGGGAAAAGGUUUCAGAGCAUCUUAGUUCCCAUUAACAUAAUAUUCAACAACUGCUUUCAUUCGCCGAAGCUUAUCACGGUGGUAAUUCAAGUGAAUAAUAACCGGUUUCAAUUUACUGAGGUUAGCAUCGUUCCUCACUGUCACUAUCAUAUUUAGAUAUAAAGUCUGCAUUUCUGAAUGGACCACUUGAAGAGGAUGUGUAUAUUACACAACCACUAGGAUUUGAAGUAAGUGGGAAGGAGCAUAUGGUGUACAAGUUACACAAAGCCCUCUAUGGCUUGAAAUAAGCACCUAGAGCAUGGAAUAAGAGGAUUAAUCAGUUCCUACUUCAAAUUGGAUUCAGAAAAUGCAAAGUAGAAUAUGAUAUAUAUGUUCAGAAACUAAAUGAUGAAAACAUUACUAUAAUCUGCUUAUAUGUAGAUGACUUACUAGUAACUGGAAGUAAUCCAAGUGAGAUUGAGAAGUUCAAACACACUAUGAAGUGUGAGUUUGAAAUGACUGGUUUGGGAAGAUUAUCUUAUUUCCUUGGAUUUGAGUUCACAACUAGCAAAGCAGGCAUAGUGAUGCAUCAACAGAAGUACAUUGGAGAACUGCUUGAAAGAUUUCAAAUGAUUGAUUGCAAUAAUGCAUCAAAUCCAUCUGAAACAAAUGCUAAACUAGAUGAAUGUAGUAAUGAAGAAAAGGCGGAGUCUACUGAAUUCAAACAGAUAGUGGGAUCACUAAGAUACUUAUGCAACAACAGACCAGAUAUAUGCUUUGCAGUAAGUAUAAUCAGUAGAUUCAUGAAUGAUCCAAGGAAGUCUCAUCUCACUGCAGCUAAAAGAAUAUUGAGAUAUGUGAAAGGUACAUUGAAGUUUGGCCUGUUAUUUCCAGCUGCAAAUAAAGUAGGAGAAGCUGAAUUAGAGGGAUACUCUGAUUCAGACUGGUGUGAAGAUAUAAUGGAUAGGAAGAGCACUUAUGGCUACCUAUUCAAGUUCAAUGGUGUUGCAAUCUCAUGGUGCAAAAAGAAACAACCUGUAACGCCCUAGUCGUUAAUUUAUUUAUUUUGAAUUUAUUUAGAGUCUUUUAUGUGAUUUUAAAUAAAAUUGGUGAUUUAUGUGGUGUGUUAUAUUUUAUUAUAAGGUUUAUUUUAAUAAUAAUUAGAUUAAGUGAAAAAUUAAUAUUAUUUUGGAGUGUGGGGAGUUAAUUAGAAAUUAUUAGAAUUAAGGGGGAGUAAUUGAAAUAAAGGGAAGUUAAGAAGGGAGUUAAGAAAGAAAGAAAGAGUCAGAAACGUUUUACGUGAAAAACUGUCAAGUUGGGAGAAAAGGGAGAGAAGAGCAAGUAGAGCCAAGUUCAUCAAUUGUUGUGCAUUUCUUUCAGCAAUUCUAAGGUAAGGGUGAGGUUUGGUUCAUUAGUAUAGAUUCUAAAUUCUGAUUUUGGGUUUAACCUAGUUCUGGUAGAAAUUGGGAAUUUGGGGUCUAGGUUUUGAUUCUUCGAAUUCUGGAUGGAAUGAGUGUAGGAACCAUUGUUUUAGUGUUAGAAUUAUGUUCCGGACGAUUUUAGGAUUGCAUAACAUUACUAUAACCUGUUUUGGGGUAUGAAUUGGGAAAAAUUGGGGAUUUUUGGUGAAAAAUUGCAAAUUCACGAUUCUGGAACUGUCACAACUCGCCCUGGCGAAACCAUUUUCGCCUGGCGAAAUUUCGCCAUUCCCUCGCCAUUGGUUCGCCAUGGCGAAAGUGUCCAAAAAGUUUCCAGAGAACACUGACUUAGUUCGCCAUUCCUUCGCCUUUUGCUCGCCCUGGCGAAAGUGCCCAGUAGCUUUUCGCCUUUUGUUCGCCAUUGGCUUGCCAUGGCGAGAAGCCAAUUUUCGUUGAUUUCACCUGGCGAGUUUAGUAGUUCGCCUGGCGAAAGUACCUAGGAUUUAACAGUGUUUUGGAGUUUUGUAUACUCAGUUGUACGCAUUGUUUGGUUGAUACUUUUGGCUGUGCUAUGAUUAUAUAUGACUAUAUUAUUUACCAAGAGCAUGAUUAAUUGUUGAGUGAUGAUUCAUGUAUAAUUACACUUAAAUAAAUUAUAUAAAUGGUUGUUGAUUGAAAGGUAUGCUUUAUUUAAUUAAGUCAUACAUGUUGUGAGUCAUAUAUACAUAUAUGUAGGGUUGAGUUGUAUGUAGAUAUACACAAGUGGGUCAAUUACAUAAGCAUAAAAGCGGGAGGGCUUCGGCUCUGAAACGCCUUGUCGUUCAAAGCGGUGGAACACUUUGUUGUUCAAAGCGGUGUUUAGCGGUGAGGACUCAUGUCCUGAAAAAGAAUGCUUUAACCAUUCGAUUAGCGGUGAGGGCUUCGACCCUGAUUAUGGUACCACAUGCAUUUGUAGAGGAGUCUAGUGGACGUGUCGAGUGUUGCAUGAGUUGCAGUUAUUGGUCUUAAUUAUCGAAUGUUGUUGAUGUGGAUAACGAUGAUAUUAUAUAUGUUGAUGAAUUAUUAUUAUGAUAGGGUGUUAGAUUCAACUUGAUGAAUUAUUUAUCUAUAUUUUUGUUGUGAAUCUCACCCCUUCUGCUUGAAAAUGUUGCCCUUCCUAUGGGUAACUUGCAGGUGAUCCUGAGUAGUAGGUGGUGGCUCAAAGUGUCUAGGGCUCUGAUACGUGGGAUGGGAUUUUAUCGCUUAACUUCUUUCCUAUGUAUCAAAUUUUGAAUAUUGCUGAUGUAGCCCUAUGGUUGAUGAAUUUCCGUUGUUAGGCUUUUAUGCCAAGAUUAUUUGUUGGAGAACGAUUAUGUUGGAUGUUGUUAUUGUUUAAGUUGAAAAAUAUUCCGCUGCAAAUUUAAUAAUGAUUUUGAAGGAUGAUUAUUAAAUAGAUUUUAUAUUCUAUUAAAGAAAUUUUGAAUUGGGAGUGUGACAUGCCCGUUUGGGAUUCACUCUGAUGUUGAAAUAUUAUUUAUUAAAUUACUUUUGGGUAACGGGGUGUUACACAACCAGUCACUGCUCUAUCUUCAUGUGAAGCAGAGUACAUUGCUGGUACAUUUGCAGCAUGUCAAGCAAUUUGGCUUGACAAUGUUAUGAAGGAACUGAAUUGUGAAGUAAAGAAACCAUUGAAGUUGAAGAUUGGCAACAGAUCAACAAUAAAUUUGGCCAAGAAUGCAAUUGCACAUGCCAGAAGCAAGCAUAUAGAAACCAGAUUUCCCUUCAUCAGAGAACAAGUCACUAAAGGAAUGAUUGAAGUGGAACUGUCCUACUGAAGUUCAACUUGCAGAUGGUUUCACAAAAGCUUUGAAGAUUUAAAGGUUCACUUGCUUGAGGGACAAGUUAGGUCUCAUAGAGUGUUAGGAUUAUGGAUUAAGAGGGGUGUAUUAGUUUGUGUGUUUAAUCCAUAAUCAUGCUUAACAAACACUUAAGAGUUUAGUUUGUUACUUUGGAGAAACUUCAUUUUAGUUAGUUACAAGAGACUUACUCUAUAAGUCAUUAAUAUUGUAUAUAUACUUGUUUGUAACACAAUAAUCAUAAGUGUGAAUGAAAUUUUCAGUUCAAUAAAUUUUUUUUUCUCUCUCUCUCUAACAAACUUCAACCUCCAUAACAAACUUCAUCUUCUCCAUUGAAACCCUAAUUCAGUUUUACUUGCACUACAAGAAACCCUACGCUGCACUAAUAAUAUAUCUUCCAAUAUUUUUCCUUGUGUUGUGGCAUUCAUUCUCAUUUUAUCUUAAAAUUCUGGUAAUCAACAUCAACUUUCACACUAAAGAUAUCAAAUUUGAAGUCCAUCUAACCCCUUUUUCCAAACACACCAGAGGCUCCCGACCCAGCUAGGGGGAUUUGUAAAGCAUAAAAUCAAAAAUAAAGUAAAAUUGGCUUGUAGUUAAUCUUACGGAAAAUUGCAUUUACCUUCCCUGAAGACCCUUCAAAUAAAACAAAUAUCCCCUCUUGUUUUAAAAUAGGCAUUAACCUCCCAUAAGUUUUCAUCAAAUAAAUAGAAACUUCCCUUCUAUGUUAACCCUGUUUGUUUCUCCCUUUUUCCGUUAAAUUAAAAAAGGGAGUCUGAAACCAAGCUUCACACUCUGCAUUGGAAGCAUAGAAGGCAGUUUAAACCAAAAAAGAAUUACUAAAACAAAUCAAAAACAAACUUUGCAUAUUAAUAAGAUUAACUACAAGCCAAUUUUAUUUUAUUUUUUGUCUAAUUAUUAACUACUUUGCAAAUCAAAAACAAACUUUACUAAAAAUUAUUUGCAAUGACAAUAGUUUAAAUAAAUGGUAUAAUUGAAAGAAAAGUACUAGGUGAAAAACAUGUAUUAUCUUUGUAAAUGAAUAGAUAAAAUAAUGUGCUUUGACUUUUUUCUUUUGAAACAUAAAAUGAGCUUUGACUGGGUAUAGCAAUGCAGUGUACUCAACUUUAGAGUUGAUAAUAUAGUAUAGGGUGCAAGUCUUCAAUUUGAGGGUGUGCAAGAUAAAAACAAAACAUAGUAUAAAAUAAAAAGACUUGAGACUGUGCCAUAUGCCAGCGUUCUUUACGUUAACUCCAUCGAUAAAUGUUUCAUGAACUCUUGACAAAAAAAAAUUCAUGAACUCAUACUUAUAGUAUUUUUAUAAUAUUGCAAUAUUUUUCCUUUUCUUUCGUAUGCAUCAAUCAAAAACAAAUAUUCACUACCAAUCAAAAACAAAUAUUCACUACUUGACCAAAAAUAAUAAUAUUCACUAUUACGCAUAAUAGCUGCUUCAUCCCAUAUGCCAAUGAAACAAUUUCACUUGAGUCCAUUAUACAUAAUUGGACAUGUGCGUAUCUCAAGAUUGUUGAAUUUCAACUAUGAGUGAUUAUGUCCCACAUUGAUUAGAAAUUGAGAAAAUACUGAAUAUAUAAGAUAGGAGAUUCUUAUACCUGAUCCUUUAAGAUUUUAGGUGGAAAAGUGACGUCUAAGUCUCUUAAAAUUUGGACGUUUACUCCUAGUCCCAGUACUCCUCAACAAACAUGACACCAUUAAUUGAUUGGCCAAACAAUUUUUUAAUUAUUAAAAAAAUAUACAAGCUGCAAUUAUACAUAUUUUCAACUGUUAUGGAAAUUCAGUGGGGGGCUAUUAGAAUAGUCAACUUUACGACUAUUUCAGCUAGAUAUCGAACUCUGUUUCAUAAAUCCUAGUAUUAUUUGUCAAAAAUAAAAUAAAAUCCUAGUAUUAUAGGAAUUUUAAAAUCAUUUGAGUGACACUAUAAUUAAACUAACAGGGUAUUGUAAGGUUACUAACGCCAUACUCAUACUGCUAGUUUGCUACUUUUGCAUUAUUGUCAACUACUAGCAUGUGAAAAAUCAUGAUGCAUGAUGAAUUAUUAAAUGAUAUAUAUAUAUAUAUCUAAAAAUUAUUUCCAAAGGCAGUCAGUAUGAAAUUAAUUGUAUAUGUCAAUUUGAUUGUAAAGGGUUAAUUCCCAUAUAACCUUAAUUACGACUCAUAAUUCUUCCUUUGAUGCAUAUAUACAUGAUGUAUGCACCACACCUGCAAUUUAUAAUUUUUUUAUUUUUUUUAUUUUUAUGAAAAUCUUUGAAUAGAACAAGUACAAAAAUAGAGAGAAGGAAAGAGGAAGAGAAUAGAACAAGAAUAGAGAGAAUGAGAGAGGAGAAGAGUAUUCUAUUAUACUUUGAGUGUAUAGAGAAUUACAAUAAUAUGACAUAUUUAACCCAAACAACUAUGAUUGUAAUUGAUUUGUCAAAAGUUUUUAAAAUAGGAACUAUUCUUAUAAACUUUAAUAUUGUGGAGGAGUAAAAUUAUCAAUAAAAUUUUAUCGAAACUAAAAUUGAAAACUCUUAAUUUUACAGGACUAAAAAAUAUUUAACACUAAAUUUAUUGAUAUUUCCAUAUGCCAAAAUAUAGUUCAGUAUUGUUAAAGACUUAAAGUAAUCAAAGACUAUACCACCCGGAAAAGAAAAAAAAAAGUAUUCAAAAGCUUGUUUAGUGUGAAUCAUUGUUAUUUGACUAGUUCGUGUGAUUCCUGCGAAUUAAGUAUCGUACCAAACAGCAUUUUUCUUAUAAUAUUCAUAACAAUGUAUGGAUGUCCAACGAGAAUAUGCCUUAAUAAAAUCUUAUUAGAAAAGAAAUACCAACUGCUUGAGAUAUUAUCUUCAUAUUGAGUUAUUUCUAGGGUUGCUAUAAGAAAACAACAAGUAAUUUCUUGUAUGUUUAAAAUUACAAUCUUUAAUAAAAGAGCAUUCUCCACUUCCUUGACGCAGUCCUAACAUUUUCAAAUGAUCGGUUGAUAUUGUUGUUUCUCUAAAAUUCAAAUUGUAUACAUGACUUUGUACCAAUAACUUUAUGUUUAUUAAUAAUAUUGACAAAAAUAAAAUACCAUGAUAAUUAUAAUUAGGAAAAUACGACAGUGCCCUCAUUUGAACUAAGAUAUAUACUUCAGGACCAAUUUAAGUUGUUCAUCAUUUUCUUGAGGACAUGAUUUUUUACUCAUAACAAGUGACAUCAUAAUUAUUCUAAUACAUAAUAAACUAAAUUUCCACAUCAAAGUAUUUUAACACAUUUGUUUUAUGGUGAUAAGUUUCUUUAUGCACAAAAUCUCAUUUAAAUAUUAAAUUUUCAAUCCAAACAAACUUUGUGCUUCCAAUGUAUUCCAUUUCAAACCUUUUGAUAAUCAACAUGUUUUAGAAUCUUUUUAGGAGUUCUGAUAAUAUAUAUACCAUUCUUAUGAAAUCGAUGAUAACAAAUUCAUUUCUAAAUCUUUAAAAUUAACAAACGAUAUCAUCUUUUCAAUAGUUUUAAUAGUAUGUCUCACGAAAAUUAAAUGUUUCAUAUAAUUAUCACUAUCAAGUGAGCCAUACAGAUACACUGUAACACAUUUUUCAUAUAAAUCAUGUUUUUCAAUUGGAACUAAACAUAAUCAAGCAAUAAAAAAAAUUUGUGAACUCACUUCAGACACCAUGUCUCUCUUAAAAAUUAAUGUUAGAAAUUUACACAUCAAUAUCUAGUGAACGUAUAUGUUGCAGUAUAGGACAAAGCCUAUCCACUAAUGAGUUCCAAAGGGCUCAUCCCCGAAGGAGUUUAAGGGCAUGUCGUUUGUAAGCAAACAAACCCAUAAGAAUACAACUUAAGCUACCAACAACGUAGAAGAACACAGACCAAGGCGAACAACCGACAAGGUCUGUAACACAAGAAGACACAAGCCGAGGUGAAUAACCAGCAUACUAUGUUUCAUAUGAGCACCCACAAACCAAAGGUGAGAAACCAAUAGGGUCUGUGGAACAAAUAUAGAAAAGAACAAGAUCUACAACUCUCCUUUAAAGGACAACAAUUGUCCUUAAAAGUACUACGAUUGUCCUUCCAAGGUAGCUAUCCAAGCAAGGAUGUAAGGGUGUAAGACCUAAGACACUACUAUUAUUUGUCGGGUCAAAUUAAUGCAAUUUCUUUAUUCAGUUAUGAACAAAAUUAUAUUUUAUUUUCAAUUGUUCUGAUCGUUAUAAUUCUUCUAGACCCUAGGUUUGGCAACCCUAAUUAUCUAUUUAUGUCCUCUAAGUUAAGGUAUAAGAAUGACGAUUUUGCUUUAACUCGAAUAAGAACAAUAUAAACUUUGCUUAAUUAUCUUUAAGUAAUUAGGGUUAAUUAGGGAUUUCAUAAUGCGGGUAAAUUACCCACCAUUUUUUAAAGGCAAUCUAGGCUUCACCUUCAUGUAUUUUCUAAUGCCUUUACUCAAAGGUCCAAACCCGAACAUUGCACAAAAGCCACUACUCCAUAUAUAAUAGUAAGUAUUGGACUGAACAAUAUAAUGCAGAACAACACAACACAAGGCAUAACAGUACACGACAAAUUUUUAUGGUAUUGAAUAAUUUCAUGUUUUAUAUGCUUUUUGGGGGACGAAAUGUUAUUUUGGGUGUUUUAGACAACUUGUAAGUGGGACAAAAAGUUAUGCUGUGGUUUGGUGAGGGACAAAAAUUUCAGUUUUUGUCAUGUCCCUUGCCUCCAGUUUGUUCUGUCCCUGAAACAAUUUUACAAAUCAAACACUAAACAACUGAAGUUGUUCUGUUGUCCUUCAUUUUCUAACAAAUUAAACGCACCCUCAUCAACAUUUGGUCGGUAACAUACUUUAAAAUGUCACUUUUUAGAUAUUUUUAAAACAUUUUUCAAAAAAGGUUACCAACACCAUUACAGUUUUUAAUUGAUUUUAACAAUAUAUAAAAGGUGUUGCGUUUGUUAUAUAUAAAAAGUUGUUGCGUGUUACAAGUUUUUGAUAUACAUUUUAAUUAUGUUGUUUCCUACAAUCAAAUCAAAUCAAGUAUUUUAAUUACCUUGUUUCCUACAAUCAAAUCAAUUAGUUAUAUAUACAUUUUACAAGUCUCUUUCACUUGUUCACAGAGAGAUAACUCGUAUCAAUGUCACGGUCAACUCUGGAUCCAUGAAAUUUCCAUCUCCUGAAUUGUUACUAGAUCUUAAUUAUGUUGUAGUGGCUUGCUAACACUGUGUUUAUGAGGAUGAGAUAAAAACAACUUAAAACAUUAAAUUAGCAUACAACAAACAUUGGUAAAAAAAAAAAACAUACAACAAACAUUAUAGUGUGAAAAUGAGGGUAAAAGCAUAAGUAUACAUGCUGGUUAAGUUUUAGAACAACAACUAAGACAUAGAAACAAGGUUAUCGAGGUGUGCCAUCGGGAAAAGGUUUGAGAGCAUCUUGGUUCCCAUUAACAUAGUAUUCAACAACUGCUUUCAUUCGCGGAAGCUUAUCACGGUGGUAAUUCACGUGAAUAAUAACCGGUUUCAAUUUACUGAGGUUAGCAUCGUUCCUCACUGUCCUGAAAAGAACUCUGCUGUUCAUAAAAAGAUAUAUAUCCAUAGUUCUUUUAGCAGCAUGAAGCCCGUCAUAACCAGGAUGUGAUGGAUGAAAGAGUUCCUCGUUGAAAACGGCUUGGUCCCAUGCAUUACCCUUCGAAAGUCGUGCUGCCACACGGUCCAAAAGCUCAAUUGAAGGAAUGGUUGGUCUGAUAUAGAAGAAACCAGAAUUGUAAACAAAUAUCCUCGUGGUAUAAACGUUAGUAGACCAACCCAUCCCAUGGUCUUUGAAGACAUCGUUGUAGCCAUAAGCUGUCAUGUUAUUAUGACCAUCGCUCAUGGACUCAACAUCCGAAUCACGGUAUAAAUGAUCAAAAGGAUUCUGCAAAUAUACAAUGUCGAUGUCUGAUAGAAGAACACUAUAUCCCAACUGCAAAAAUUCUCUUAGAAUACGAAAUUUAAGCCCGGAGACAGCCCCACCGUUUGGAAUUUUUCCAACAGUAUCAAUAUCAUUAUCCGGGUCUCUUUGGUAAAAUGGGACUUUAUUAGAUUCACAAAAUUUUGCAAUCUCAUCGUCUAAGGCAACAACUAGAUAAUUAGGUAUACCAACUCUCUUGAUAUUGGUGAACCAGACCUCGAGCAUUGCCUUCACAUUUGAGUUUGCAAGGGUAACUAUGAUCUCUCGUUUAACUGCGAUUUUCUCUAAUAAAUUUGCCAAUCUCGGGUUCAAGAAUUCAUCAGGAGCAACAGUAGGAUUGGUUCUUAAUGCCUUGACAGUACCAAAAGGUCCAGCUUUUUCCUGUUUACUCAAUGCAAGCAACUUUUUUUCAGCCUGGUCUUUUCCUUCCGUCAACUCCCUCACCUGUUUUUUCAGCUCUGCAUUUUUAUCUGAUAAGAGUGCCACAAAUUCUGAUUUUAACAUGUUAACUCUAUCUGAUGAUUCAGAUUCAGCUGAAUUUUCCUGCCAAAAGAAAAUAAAAUAAAAAAUCACUGAGAAAUAAAGAAGUCAUUGUUGGGAAAAAAGAAGAAAGCUAAGAUGCAUCCUAUAAGAUGCUCACAUAAUCUUGAUAAUGAUGAAGAAAGGUAUUAUAAAAUUACUAAUUGAAGUUAGAGAACUUCAAUGAUGAAAAUGAAACCUGGGUCUUGGGUACAGCAACAGGUAGGUGACGAAUUGAGGUAAUAGAUUGAGAAACAAAGAAGUCAUUAGGAAAAUAGAAAACUAUGAUGCAUCCAGCAAGAACUCCAAUGAUUACAGUGGUAAUGAUCCUUGAUAUGAGUAGAGAUUGAGGGCUGUUCUUCAUCAAAGGUCCUUCUCUUUCUCUGCGCUCAAUCAUUGUAUCCACCACCAACUCAAAGACUGAGAUUGAAAUGGUAGUUUUGUUUUGUUCUGGUUAUAUAGGGUUUUGAAGCUUUGGAGGGUUAAUUAAGAAAUGGAGAAUUGGGUGGUCAGUUUGAGCGCAGAUAUUCAGUACUUCGACUUUGAUACUGAAUUUGAUUGAACUACUAGCCUCUCAAACAUUCUUGAUGGGAAUAUGAGAAUUCAUCUAUACCUAUAUAUAGUGUUGCGAAUUCGAUGAGAAUCACACCAAUAACAACUUGAUGUGUGGAGCAAGGGAUAGUCAAGCAACCAAAAUCAAAGUGUAUGAAAGUUAUAAAUACAAGCCAAAAGUAGAAAACAACGGCGAGAAAAACACAAAGAAGAGAAGAACACAAAAGAAUUUGUUGACACAGUUCGGUCCAAAUUGACCUAGUCUGAGGGAGAGAGCAGCCUUCCGAUCCACUAUAUGAUGAGUAUCGUUACAAAGAGAAAACAAUGGGUUACAAGAAUAAGUCUCCCGCCUAAUUCUACCCAAAGCCCCAAUCUCUUCCCGUAACCAAGAGACUCAAUCCUAAUAGUGUUUCCCAAGGUGAAUCAACCCUCAAACCCUAGUGUUUGUUCCAAAGAGACAAACUCUAUACAAACCCUAGUUUUGUUGUUGUUUUUCUCCAUCGUGGCACGAUUCUCUAGAAUUCUGAUUUUAAGUUAACUCUCACAUAUAGAAAAAGGAAUGUGCGAUUUUGGAGUGAUUUUUUCACUUUUAAAUUUAUCAUUCAUUUAAAUUAUCAUAUUUACAAUCAUAAUCCUUUUAUUAAAUUAUUAAUUGUAAUGUUAAGAAUACCGACCCAAUUAUCCUUUGGGUCGUCUACAAUAAAUGGGUUAAGUCAAGGUCCAGGGAGGUGACUACCUCGUCAAGCUAAAUGGGACUGACCUACUGACCCACCUUAAGAAAAAUAGCACCUCACAACGAUAUGCUAGGAUGGGUAAUGACCUUCUACUACUAAAUAUCAGUAACCACCUCAUUCACACUAAAGCACUGGCACACUCCAGCACCUUGAACGUAACCAUAAUUUGAAUAGCAUCAAGUCAUUCCUAUGUAUAGAGGGACCUAACAUAAACCAAAUAAUCUAGUUAGACUGAACAAACCUUCAUAUAUACAUGAAUCAUUCCUAUUUACAGUGGAUUCAUCAUAAUAUGAUAGGUACUUCAACCUAUCCCAGGUUCAGUUAUUCCGAUUAUCUAUAUUAACCUCAUAACAAACAAUAUUAGAGCUAAAUUGAGAUGAUAAAAACAAAUUAAACAAGGAGCUUAACAUCUAAUCCAUUACUAUAAAUAUAAGCUCUCGUACCCUGGAUACGAUCAUCUUAUAACUUAACUAAUAUUUCACUUUGUUACUUGAUAGUUGAUGAGUUUUUUUAGUGGCGUCAAAAAUAAGUAUUCAAAGAAUACUUUUAUCCAUAUAGAGUUUCAUGCGAUACCAAAGAUGUUCAACAAUCAAAUUGUUUUGAGUAAAUAAAGUGAGUUGUUUAAACAUGUAUUUUGGUUUGUGCAGUGUAAGUGCUGAAACAAGAAUAAGAAGAUCAUAUUCUCGAGAUAAAACAUCAUUAACUAAUCAUACCAUUCCUUAGUUGGUUAUAUACUCCUCAUAUUUCAGUUAUACCUUCACUUAUCCCUCAAGCCUCAACAUCGUUUCCAUGUCUAACAAACAACAUGACAUCCAUUGUAACAAUUAACUUCUAAUAUUAAAAAAAUAGUUGAUUGAUUCAAUGACAUAAACUCAAGUGGUUGUAAUCCUAGCACUUGUUGGUGUAAGCCCCAGAGACUAAUGGUUUUAUGCCAAAAUUAUAAUUUGUAUCAUGGCUUUCAUUAAAUGAUAUUUUAUCCUUUAAAAAUGUCAUUUUUUUUUUGUUUACACUAAAAAUGUAAUAUCAUUUAUAAGAUAUUAUUUAUUAUACUUGUUGUAAUGAAGCCCCUCGAAUAGCUAGUUUGGCUAUAGAACAUUAAAUGUAACUUUAUCGUGAUGUAUACAUCAUUAACACAUAUAACACUAUUCUUAAAAUAUUUUUAGUGAAACUUUAAUAUUAAUUUAGAUGAUAAUAAAACAUAGAUACUAUUAUGUACGUAAGCUGAAGACCACAUCUCGCGGGUCAUGCAUAUGAGAUAUAAAUACACACACACACACAUAUAUAUAUAUAUAUAUAUAUAUAUUAAUAUUAUGAAUAAUAAUUAUUUAAAAAAAAAAAUAAAAUUAUAUUGAAUUGACCCACUAAGUUCAUUUCAUUGUUGUUUUUCGUAUUGUUCGUAACCAAACUAGUCGUAAUUUUUCAAACCACAACUUUCUCAAAAUUUGUUAUAGACAUAAAGUGUAUUUUUAGUUAUCAUACGAAAUACACAUAAAAAAAUGAACAAAAUUUUUAUCUUAUUAAAAUAUUAUAUAUUUAUAGUGAUUUUUUAAAGGAUAUUUAUAGUGUUAUGCGGUUUAAUUAUAUAACUGUCCCUUUUGGUUUGAUAGAAAAAUGUCCUAUCUUUUUUUUUGUUUACACAAAAAUGUCAUAUCUUAUGAGUCACUGUCACUAUAAGAGGUUCAAUUCUAAAUCUAUACUAAGGUCCCGUUUGGAUAAACAACUUAUAUUGAUGCUUAUAGCAUUAGAACUUAUAACAUUAAAGUUUACAUCAUAAGCUCUUAUACUUGAUAAGCUAUUUAUGUUUGGAUAUGUACACUAAAAAGUACUUCCAUAAAUUGAAGUGUUUGGAUUUGUUAUUACAUAAGUAAUUAUUAAAAUUUUAAAUAUUUUUAAUUUAACAAAAAAUUCAAAUAAUCGAACCACAAUUAUCAAGAUUUUUUUGAUAAAAUUAAUCAAGAUGUAAAAAAACAAUAUUAUAAUAUAUUAUUUAUAAUUAUAAUUAUAUAUAUAGUAUAAUCAAUAGAUGAGAGUAAAUUAAAAUAUUAAAAAAAAUAUAUAACAAAAUCAAUCUUUAUUUUGUCAAAAAAAAAAAAAACUCAAUCUUUAUUGUCCACGACAUAUGAAUAUAUGUCGAGUUUUUUUCCUUUAUAUUUUAAAAAGUGUAACAAAUUAGAUCGAAUAUAUCCAUACUAUAUAUAAAGAAAAUAUAAGAUUUUGGGCAGGCUUUUUCAUUAUCCUAAUACCCUAAAGCAAUUUUUUCUAUAAUAAUGAUUGUUGUUGUUGUCAUUAAAAGGAUAAGAAUUUUGAUUAUAUUUUUUAUUAUAUUGUUGGUGUCAUCGAAAUAGAUAAACAAAGUUAGUUUGGUUUGUUAUGAUUUGAAAGCAACAAUCAUUUAUAUUUAUACUUUUAAUCAAAAUCAAAAUUUCAUAGAAAAACACCGUUCAUAAUUUUCAAACUUUAGCGAAUAAAAAGAGUGGAAAGACGGGCACAUGAGUGUCCGUCUCUUUGCUAGCAAAAAUAAAAUAAUUUACUGUUAUUAGAAAUAAUUAUAAUUGAAUAUUUAUUUUAUUAUAAACGAUUAUAUUUCUAAAAUAUACACAAUCAAAUAGAAAUUUAAUAUAUAUUAUUCUUAUUGUGAUGAAAUUCUUUCUAUUAUAUCACAUUUAAUUUAUUUUUAACUAAAAAACUUAAAUAAUAUAAUAAAAAAGAUAAAAAAUUGCAAUGACAAUAGUUUAAAUAAAUGGUAUAAUUGAAAGAAAAGUACUUUUAAAAACAUGUAUUAUCUUUGUAAAUGUAUAGAUAAAAUAAAAUGUGCUUUGACUUUUUUCUUUUGAAUCAUAAAAUGUACUUUGACUUUGAACCUCUCCCUAGCUGCCAUGAGCAUUGUAGUGCAGUGUACUCAACUUUAGAGUUAAUGAUAUAUAGGGUGCAAGUCUUCAAUUUUUGGGUGUGCAAGAUAAAAACAAAACAUAGUAUAACAAAGUAUAAAAUAAAAGGUUUAAUAGCAGUUUUAGUCCCUAACUUUUAUAAAGUUGCAAUUUUGGCCCAAAAAAAAACUACAAAACAGCCCCUUAAGUUUUACAUCUGUGACAGUUUUGGUCCAAAGGCCAAUUUUGACUCAGACUACGCUGACGUGGCACCCUAAGUGAAGUGCCACGUGUUAUUUAUUUAUACCAAAAAUUGGCCUUGGCGAGCCAAAACUGUUACAGUUGUAAAACUUAGGGAGCAGUUUUAUAGUUUUUUUUAGGAGACCAAAAUCUUAACUUCGUAAAAAUUAAGAGGCGAAAACUGUUAUUAAGACAAAAUAAAAAGACUGAGACUAUGCCAUAUGCCAGCGUUCUUUACGUUAACUCCAUCGAUAAAUAUUUCAUGAACUCUUGACGAAAAAAAUAAAAAAAUUCAUGAACUCAUUCUUAUAGUAUUUUUAUAAUAUUGCAAUAUUUUUCCUUUUCUUUCGUAUGCAUCAAUCAAAAACAAAUAUUCAAUACCAAUAAAAAACAAAUAUUCACUACUUGACCAAAAAUAAUACUCCUAAUAUUCACAAUUACCCAUAAUAGUGCUUCUUUCCGGAUACCAAUGAAAAAAAUUCACUUGAGUCCAUUAUACAUAAUUGGACAUGUGCGUAUCUUAACAUUGUUGAAUUUUAAGUGUGAGUGAUUAUCCUACCUUAAUUAGAAAUGAAACAAAAUGUUGGAUAUAUAAAGAUAGGAGAUUCUUUUACCUGAUCCCUUGAAAUUUUAGGUGGAAAUAUGACAUCUAAGUCUUAAUAUCCUAGACGUUUAGUCCAUUGUCAGUCCCGUUCCUCAACAAACAUGACACCAUUAAUUGAUUGGCCAAACAAUUUUUUAAUUAUUUAAAAAGUAUACAAGUUGCAAUUAUACAUAUUUUCAACUGUUAUGGAAAUUCAGUGGGGGACUUCACAACUAUUGAUUUUUUUUUUUUUUUUUUUUAAGGAAUCACAACUAUUGAGUUGAUUCUAUAGAAUAGUCAACUUUACGACUAUUUCAGCUAGAUAUCGAACUCUAUGGUUCAUAAAUCCUAGUAUUACGGGAAUUUUAAAAUCAUUUGAGUGACAUUAUAAUAAAACUAACAGGGUAAGGUUACUGAACGCCAUACUCAUACUGCUAGUUUGCUAGCUGCAUAUUUACUUUUGCAUUAUUGUCAACUACUAGCAUGUGAAAAUUCACGAGGCAUGAUGAAUUAUUAAAUGAUUUCUUUUGUUGACAAAAUCAUAACUAUAUUCAAUCAUUUAUUGAUAGAGUAUAUCAGAUACAAACAACGCUAAAAACGUAAAGGAUGAAUCUGUAAACAAAUUCACAGCAUCCAAAUUAAUAGCAUACAACGACAAUAUAUCUGCAAAUAAUAUGAUAAAAUAUAUCUAAGUCACCGAAAUACCAAUGCUUCCGAAUUUGCAACGUUGACGCCCAAAUCAUUAGUUGAAUUUAUAAUUGACUGAUGUCGAUCUUUCAAGAUGAACUAAACGAACACCGUGAUAAGACGCAAAAAAUCAAACGCCGCACAAAACGGCGAACAACAGAACGCCGCAUUUAAACAACGAAAUCACUAAAAACAAAAGGAAAAACUUGAUUUAUGUGAAAACCACUUAUUUAGAUUGAAAUAAAAGGAGAAAAAAGAUUAGAGGGGUGAUUCUAGGUCAAAAAAUAACCUAAAAUCACUCAUCCUCGAUGAAUGAAGGAGAAAGAAGGUUUAGAGAGAAGUUGGAGUUUCUCUCACUAAAAAAUAGGGCCCGCUUUUGCUUUAUGAAUUAUUAAAUGAUGGUGACAACUAGGGUACCCAUGGAAGAAUGGUGGGUAAUUUACUCCAACCAAUACACAUUAGCCACAUAAACACAUUUUUAAGUGGUAUCCAUGAACUAUCUUGACCCCACCAACAAAUUGCUCAUUUUCAUUGGUUGGUGGGUAAAUUACCCACCAUUCUUCCAAGAUAAUUUAGAAAAAACCUUAAAGGAUAUAUAUGUCUAAAAAUUAUUUCCAAAGACAGUCAGUAUGAAAUUAAUUGUAUAUGUCAAUUUGAUUGUCAAGGGUUAAUUCCCAUAUAACUUUACGACUCUCGUAAUUCUUCCUCUUUUUUUUUGUUUUGUUACCAUCAUAAUUCUUCCUUUAAUGCACAUAUACAUGAUGCAUGCACCACACCUGCAAUUUAUAUAUUCUUUUAUGAAUGAAACUCUUUGAAUAGAACAAGAAUAUAGAGAAGGAGAGAGGAAGAGAGGAGAAGUGUAUUCUAUUAUUCUCUGGAGUCUAUACGUAUGUUAGACGUUAGCUUUAUUUAUAGAUAAAUAUAAUAACAUGACAUAAUAAUAUGACAUGCAAUCAGUUGUAUGACCCAAUAGCCAAAAAUUUAUCGACAUGUUUUAGAAUCUUUGUAGGAGUUCUGAUAAUAUUUAUACCAUUCUUAUGAAAUCGAUGAUAACAAAUUCAUUUUCAAAUCUUUAAAAUAGACCAAUGAUAUCAUCUCUACAAUAGUUUUAAUAGUAUCUCUUACGAAAAUUAAAUGUUGCUUAUAAUCAUCACUAACAAGUGAGCCAUGCAUAUACAUUGUAACACAUUUUUCAUAUAAACGAAGUUUUUAGUUGGAACUAAACAUAAUCAAGCGAUAAAAAAAAAAUCUUGAAUUCGCUUCAGACAACAUGUCUCUUAAAAAUAAAUGGUAGUCAUUUACACAUAAAUCUCUAGUGAACAUAUUUGUUGCGAUAUAGGACAAAGCCCAACCACUGAUGAGUUCCAAAGGGCUCAUCCCCGAAGGAGUUUAAUGGUAUGUCGUAUGUGAGCGAACAAACCCAUAAGAAGACAACCUAAGCUACCAACAACGUAGAAGAACACAGACCAAGGCCAACAACCGACAAGUUCUGUAACACAAGAAGACACGGGCCGAGGUGAAUAACAAGCAUAGUCUGUUUCAUACGAGCACCCACAAACCAAAGGUGAGCAAUCAAUAUGGUUUGUGGAACAAAUCCAUAAAAGAACAAGAUCUACAACUCUAGUUUAAAGGACAACAAUUGUCCCUGAAAGGAAUAUGAUUGUCUUUCCAAGACAGCUAUCCAAGCAAGCAUGUAAGGGCGCAAGCCUUAAGACCCUACUAUAAAUACUGGCUCUAAAGCCCUCAACCAGAUAUGUACACUAUUCACUAUACAAAACCUAUCGUCCCACAAGAUAAACAUAAACAACGCUCCAAAGGUCACCUGAUAAGAACCAAUAUUCACUAUACAAUAAUGGCUCUGAUUGAAUCAUCUUUAACCAUCUCAACCAUUCUCGUGGUCAAGUCAGCUAUUCAUAUCAUAUACCGACAAGAUAACAAGAACCAAUGCUCCAAAUGUCACCUACUAUCUAAUGAAAAGAUGAGAAACUACCAUGAUUCGGGGAUUUGUGGAUCCGAAGACAACCACAAAUCCCCAUAGCCUUCAAAACAUCGAGAAAAGGGAAAAAGAAGCAACUCACCCCAUCAUCAUUGCCAUCGUUCCAUUUCUUCGAAACCUAGUGAAUAUGAGGAAGAUAUGGUCCCAUGCAAUAUGAUCUUAAGAAGCAUCAAUAACUACCCUGUAUAAUGGGGCCUUUAAAAGCCACUGGCCCUCCAGUCCUAUAUGGGAACUUUAGACCUCUCUCUUAUUCAGGGGAGCCUGGCGUUAGAUGAAGUGUAAAUUGUUUCUAUUAACUAUACAUAAAGGGGACAUGGCUUGGUUCAAAUCCUUAAGGACAUGAUAUGUCAAAUAUGGACCUAACUCGAUCGAAAUUUUAUGGCCCAUUUCAUCGCGUUUGAAAAACAGCCUUAGCAAGUUGACACUACAAGAAAUUUGCUUAUUACUGGCGGAAAUAAGCCCUCAAUAAUGCACAAAUUUGUCAGUAAUGGAUAUUACUGAGGGAUUGGUGUCCCUCAGUAAUACUGGCGUCAGUAAUGUUACCGGCGGAAUAUUCCCUCAGUAGUGUUGGGGAUGAUUUGAGGAAGCAAUACUGAGGGAUUUUUCCUUCAGUAAUUACUGGCGGAAUAAUCGGCCAGUAAGUACUGACGAAAAAAUCCGCCAAUAACUUAAUAUAGGAAAUGUAACAAAAUAAUACUGCCGUUUUAUUCCGCCAAUAAUGUUACGACCAAUAAUACUAUCCAAUAAAAUCCGCCAGUAAUUUUGCUUCCAAUUAUUAUUAAAUUUAAAAUCCGCCAGUAAUACUUUUUUUUUUAAACGAUUUAAUUAAUUGAUUAUAAAGAUAAAUUAAAUUUCCACUGUUUUUUUUAGAGCACUUACUAAUGAAAUAAAAUUAAUUAGACAAAUAAAAUAAAGAAAUAAUUUUUUUGUUGGAUCAACAAAUCUUCAUCAGCAUAGGAAGGUAUAAGAACCACCAACUCUAGCAAAGUAAAGAAACACAUACAAAAUUCUAACAGUAGCAGCAAGUUACAUCACCAAAAAAACUAAAGCAAAAUAACAAGGGAAGCAAACACAAACAUUCGUUGGGUGCACCCUGUUUCUGCACUGCUAAGACAAAAAACUAGCAAAAUAAAAACCAACAACCAGUCUACAAAAGAAGAAAAACCAAUGCCUAUUUCCCAAGACCGCCUAUUUCCCAAGACCACCACAUAACAAAGAAUAGUCCAAACUAAUCAUCAUAGUAUUGGGGCAAAUUUGAUCCAGAUCUCCCACCUGAUGAUCCACUUCCUCCUCUACCCAUGUUUUGGAGAUUUUCUUGUGAUGCAUUUAAAUUACUAUAGUUUCUUAAAAAAAUUUCACCAUCUGGUAUGUUGAAAUCAGCGGCAUUGAAAGCGGACCUCGCCGAAGAAGACGUUUGGCGAUCACCCAUAGGAACAUGAGGUCUAUGAUGCUUUUCAUGAUCACUACGCACAAAUUGGGGUUGUACGCAAAGGCGUUUGUUUGACUGCGGCAUUAUGCGCCUAAUGGGCGACAUCCUGUUGUGAUAAUAGGAAAAGAAAAUGAAAAAAAAUGAGAAAAUGAUUAUUUUGAAAAUAAAAGAAUUCCAAUGAAAUAUUGAAUUCAUAUUUAUAUAACCAAGAAGGUAAUUAUCAGGACAAUGCCAAAGGUCCACAAAAUUUGUUGCCGAAAUUGAUGAAGUUAUAUUGAUUGGGAAAUUCCAGUAGUUCCAUUAUUAAAGAGCACAAAAAAUCUAAAAAACAUUUGAGAGUCCAACUUGUCGGCUUCUAACAAAUAUAUUUUUUGAUCAAAUUGAACUCAUUAUUUCAGAAUAUGCAACACCAACAUACCUGAAUCUCUAUACACUAUUAUUUGUGUUACACCACCACUCAUCAAUGAAGAAAUAAUUAUAUACUUAAACCUGUAAUGCGACUAAUCUUAAAUUGCACUAUAAGAUCUUAGUACUAAAUUGGUAAUAAAACAAAACAAAAAAGAAAGUAAUAAAACUUAAAAAAAAAAAAUGAAUCAGAUAUAAGAUCAUACCCCCAAAUCAUCAUAUUGCGGUGUUAUCGCGUGAUCAUAUGGAUCAAGUUGUGAUGUAUCCCCACGAGAUCGCCGUUGUUGCUCUAGCAUGGUUCUUUGCAAAUGCACCAAUUCAACUACUUGGCUCUUCAUUUCUUGUUGUGAUUUUACAAGUUCUUCUUGUUGUACGUUAAUAUUGCAUUCUCAGCCCUCAAUUGCUCAACCUCAGUAUAAAUGGGAUCGUCGUGUCUACGAGUUGACCGACCUGUGCGUUCAAAAGAGUUAAGGCAAGUAUCUAUGAAUUUGCCAGAUGAAUCCUUCUGAUAUAACUUAGAGUUACUACCAGCACCAACAAUACGGCCCUUGUCCACCCACAAUAUCUAUAAAUUUGUUCAUUAUAAUCAGUUUUUGGAUGUUACUGAAGGUUUAUUCCGCUAGUAAUUACAGAGGGUCUAAAUCAGUAAUGCAAUUUUGAAUUGGUUAGUAGAUUGGGGAAUUCUUGUAGUGAUAGUCUCGAAGAAAUUCUUUAGGGGAAAGAAGAGUCCCUGCAUAGUUACAUAGAGAAAUUCAACAAAGAAGAAAUAUGGAUAAUGACAAGAUGAAAACUUAUUUCUCGUGGAAAAGUCUAAGAAAAGGGAUCAAGUUCACCGAAAGUAUCAGGCUAAAGACACCCCAAGACAUUAACCACCUACUACAACGGGUCGAGAAGUACAUGCAAUCUGAGAGAAUUUUUGAAGUUAAUAAUGUGAUGAACGUUAACAAGGAUAAUAUCGACCCGCGAAGGCUCAUGGGGCAAAGUACCAUGAGUAUACCCCACUCAACAUGUCUAGAGACCACAUCCUUCAGAAGUGCAUUAGCAUGGAAUUCAAAGAAGACGUUGAGCAUCCUUGCAAGACCAACAAACUACCUGGGAUGGAUAAAAUAAGGUAUUUCUGUUUUCACUAUUUUUAUGGCCACAUAAAGGAGGAAUGCAUCGAACUGAAUGUUGUGAUAGAGGAUUUGAUCUUAAAGGGAAAGUUGAAGAGGUUCAAAGCAUGAAAUGAAUGGGGAGCCCAUUCCUUUUAUACACAAACCCAUACUCUCAUGUCAUCAGGGCACAUAAGCUCUAAAAGAAAGUAUGAAGAAUAAGGAAUGAACCCCGACCUCGGGGUGUUUGAUGAUAAAUUUGGUAAGUGCACAAAGUUGUAAUAAGUAAUAAAGUGAUAGUUAUCAUCUCCACAUAAAUUGUUGUCAACUCAGAAAUUUACUAAAACUAUUUAAAUUAAAAAGCAGUAAAGGGUUUCAGGGUUGCAAGUUUGAUUUGUCUGCAUAAUAAGAGUAGUAGUUUAUUGUUGACAACUAAAGAGUUUGAUUCAUAUGUUUAACGGUGAUCAGGAGUUUUUGAAAAAUUAAGUUAGCAUACAACAAACAUUGGUAAAAAAAAAAAACAUACAACAAACAUUAUAGUGUGAAAAUGAGGGUAAAAGCAUAAGUAUAGGUGCUUGCUAAAGUUUUUGAACAACAACUUAGACACAAAAACAAGGUUAUCGAGGUGUGCCAUCGGGAAAAGGUUUGAGAGCAUCUUGGUUCCCAUUAACAUAAUAUUCAACAAUUGCUUUCAUUCGCCGAAGCUUAUCACGGUGGUAAUUCAAGUGAAUAAUUACCGGUUUCAAUUUACUGAGGUUAGCAUCGUUCCUCACUGUCCUGAAAAGAACUCUGCUGUUCAUAAAAAGAUAUAUAUCCAUAGUUCUUUUAGAAGCAUGAAGCCCGUCAUA